AACCAGAAGGCGCAAUGAAAGUGAAGGCACGGUCGCCGUGCUGAGGUGAGAGCCGUCCCCGACGGCGCAUCAUCGACCGAUCCCAUCCGCUCCCUCGUGGUGCGGCGGGAUUCGAGUAAGAGUGUACCUGUUGCGACCCGAAAGAUGGUGAACUAUGCCUGAAUAGGGUGAAGCCAGAGGAAACUCUGGUGGAGGCCCGUAGCGAUUCUGACGUGCAAAUCGAUCGUCAAAUUUGGGUAUAGGGGCGAAAGACUAAUCGAACCAUCUAGUAGCUGGUUCCCUCCGAAGUUUCCCUUAGGAUAGCUGUAGCCCGAAGCAGUUUUAUCAGGUAAAGCGAAUGAUUAGAGGUAUCGGGGAAGAAACUUCCUCGACCUAUUCUCAAACUUUAAAUAGGUAAGAAGUCCGACUUGCUUGAUUUGAAGCCGGACGCAGAAUGCUGGGUUACUAGUGGGCCAUUUUUGGUAAGCAGAACUGGCGAUGCGGGAUGAACCGAACGCCGAGUUAAGGUGCCAAAGUCGACGCUCAUCAGAUCCCACAAA
rnacentral:rRNA from 1 species